rnacentral:rRNA from 1 species
CAUAAUCACUUGUUCUUUAAAUGAGGACUCGUAUCAACGGCAUCACGAGGAUCCUACUGUCUCCCCCCUCUAAUCGGUGAAACUGAUCUCUCCGUGAAGAAGCGGAGAUGUACAUAUAAGACGAGAAGACCCCAUGGAGCUUUAAACCCAACAACACCCGCCCCCCCUCCAAAUCCUAUUAUUUACCCGGUGAUUGUUUGUUUGGUUUUAGGUUGGGGUGACCGCGGAGUAUAAGAUAUCCUCCAUGAAAAAAAGCUAACUGCCCUUAUUAGAGAAAGACACUUCCAAAAAAUAAUAAAUUAAUUUUAAAUGAUCCGACAUUCGAUCAACGAACCAAGUUACCCUGGGGAUAACAGCGCAAUCCGUCCCGAGAGCCCCUAUCGACAGGCGGGUUUACGACCUCGAUGUUGGAUCAGGGUAUCCUAGUGGUGCAGCAGCUACUAAAGGUUCGUUUGUUCAACGAUUAAAACCCU